UACGUAGGGGGGCUAGCGUUGUCCGGAAUCAUUGGGCGUAAAGAGCGUGUAGGCGGUCCGGUAAGUCCGCUGUGAAAGUCGGGGGCUCAACCCUCGAAUGCCGGUGGAUACUGUCGGGCUAGAGUGCGGAAGAGGCGAGUGGAAUUCCGAGUGUAGAGGUGAAAUUCGUAGAUAUUCGGAAGAACACCAGUGGCGAAGGCGACUCGCUGGACAGACAUUGACGCUGAGGCGCGAAAGCCAGGGGAGCAAACGGG
rnacentral:rRNA from 1 species